rnacentral:lncRNA from 1 species
AGUCACUUACUAAACCACAUUCAAAACAAAAAAAAAACCCCUUUAAAGUCCCUACACUUAAUCAUUUUCAACCAACUAAGUAUCAAAACAAUACCAAAUUCAAAAUACAAAAUCCCCUUUAAAGUCCCUACACUUAACCAUUUUCAACCAACUAAGUAUCAAAACAAAACCAUAUUCAAAACACAAAAUCCCCUUUAAAGUCCCUAAACUUAACCAU